AUAGCCCUGCUAUGGCACGCACAGGGCUCCAUUUUGUUUAUUCUUCAUGCUACAUGCAUUAGUACAGAGGUACUUAAAAUGAGUCCUUGAUGAAGGAUGAAGCCAACUUACUGGCUUGAGCAGCUGGAAUUCCUUCGUGCUGCUCUUCAUGUGUUCUCCUGCUGACCUCUGGUCGCUCUCCAAGCUCUGGGCAUCUCUUGCUGGCCCUGGGAUCAAACUGAUCGACCCCAUCAGUCUGCAAGAGACUAGAUUGAUGAGAAGCCAUACAGCAAGGAAAGGCCAAAUCAGAAGUUCAAAGAUUUACAAGUCUAGAAAUGAGUAAGAAUUACAGCAUCAAAAACUCCAAAAAUUGUUGCAAAUGUGGAGUAUAUUCCCACUUGGAAUACUCCCACUGCCACAAUUUCACUUGCUGAUAAUAGUCAUUGUAGGUUAUGAAAAUAAUAACAUCCCCAAGAGAAGGGAAAAACAUAGAAGAAGGACUGCUGUCUGGACAAUGCAACUACAAAACCAUCCCCAGCUGCCUAAAAACUCUGUUAUUUAAAAAAAUAAAGGCAUGAUUGUGGCCAUCUCUACACAGAAAAGCUGGCAGCACCGGCCUGCACAUUGGAUGCAUCUCACAUACAAAUGGAAG